rnacentral:rRNA from 1 species
AACGAACGCUGGCGGCAGGCUUAACACAUGCAAGUCGAACGCUCACUUCGGUGAGAGUGGCAGACGGGUGAGUAACGCGUGGGAACAUACCUUUCGGUACGGAAUAACUCAGGGAAACUUGUGCUAAUAACGUAUACGCCCCUUGGGGGAAAGAUUUAUCGCCGAAAGAUUGGCCCGCGUCUGAUUAGCUAGUUGGUGGGGUAAUGGCCUACCAAGGCGACGAUCAGUAGCUGGUCUGAGAGGAUGAUCAGCCACACUGGGACUGAGACACGGCCCAGACUCCUACGGGAGGCAGCAGUGGGGAAUAUUGGACAAUGGGCGCAAGCCUGAUCCAGCCAUGCCGCGUGAGUGAUGAAGGCCUUAGGUUUGUAAAGCUCUUUCACUGGGGAAGAUAAUGACGGUACCCAGAGAAGAAGCCCCGGCUAACUUCGUGCCAGCCGCCGCAGUAACAC